GGGAACAUACCCUUUUCUACGGAAUAGCUCUGGGAAACUGGAAUUAAUACCGUAUACGCCCUACGGGGGAAAGAUUUAUCGGGGAAGGAUUGGCCCGCGUUGGAUUAGCUAGUUGGUGGGGUAAAGGCCUACCAAGGCGACGAUCCAUAGCUGGUCUGAGAGGAUGAUCAGCCACAUUGGGACUGAGACACGGCCCAAACUCCUACGGGAGGCAGCAGUGGGGAAUAUUGGACAAUGGGCGCAAGCCUGAUCCAGCCAUGCCGCGUGAGUGAUGAAGGCCUUAGGGUUGUAAAGCUCUUUCACCGAUGAAGAUAAUGACGGUAGUCGGAGAAGAAGCCCCGGCUAACUUCGUGCCAGCAGCCGCGGUAAUACGAAGGGGGCUAGCGUUGUUCGGAAUUACUGGGCGUAAAGCGCACGUAGGCGGAUAUUUAAGUCAGGGGUGAAAUCCCAGAGCUCAACUCUGGAACUGCCUUUGAUACUGGGUAUCUUGAGUAUGGAAGAGGUAAGCGGAAUUGCGAGU
rnacentral:rRNA from 1 species